CCCUUAGAUGUUCUGGGCCGCACGCGCGCUACACUGUUUGAUUCAGCGAGUCUUAACCUUGACCGAAAGGUUUGGGUAAUCUUCUAAAGUCAAACGUGAUGGGGAUCGAUCAUUGCAAUUAUUGAUCGUGAACGGGGAAUUCCUAGUAAAUGCAAGUCAUCAGCUUGCGUUGAUUACGUCCCUGCCCUUUGUACACACCGCCCGUCGCUACUACCGAUUGAAUGGUUUAGUGAGAUCUCCGGAUUGGCUCUGUAGGUCCCGCAAGGGAUUUAUUAGUAGCCAAGAAGCUGCUCAAACUUGAUCAUUUAGAGGAAGUAAAAGUCGUAACA
rnacentral:rRNA from 1 species